UUAGUUUCUGAAAAUAUAUAAUUAGGGCAUCAUUAUGUCUUAUUGCCCCGGGCAACAUAUUUCUUUGGACCGGCCCUGGGUCCUUGCAUUGCAAUUGCCUAUUUAUCGGUUCUAAAGGACUGUGAGAUUCAUUGCUUUCAUGAAGGAUUGGAAGUCAAACGACUUGGUGGUCUCCAUGUCAUUGGGACAUCUUUGCAUGAGUCCCGAAGAAUUGAUAAUCAGCUUCGUGGCAGAGCAGGAAGGCAAGGAGAUCCUGGAUCAACACGCUUCAUGGUCAGGUAAGUUCAUUUAAAUGAUUUUUAUAAAGUUUAAAGUCAAUCCUUUCAUCUGGACAAAAUUCUUCAUGUUAAAUUACGUAAUAGUCCUUGGAGUAGUUGACAUGAACAAUUUUUUUUUGUUAGAAUGAUUCCAUAUAUAUGUGCAAGCAAGCACAUGCCUUGUGAAAAAGGGAAAUCUAUUCUAGUCAUUCUCUUUAACAAGGCAACCUUAAAGUUGAUUUUUUAAACCUGAUGUUUAAAACUACAUUGAGUGUGAGAUAGAAGUUUAUGCAGAGAAGGAAAAAGAUAGAAGUUUUUGAGGAUGUUGCUGAUGAAAAAGAUAGAGGUUCUUUAGGAUGCUGCUAAUGAAGUUUAUGCAGAGAAGGAAAAAGAUAGAAGUUUGUUGGCACAUAGUAAGCUAGAUAAUUAAUGCAAUUGUAUAUAAAUGAGUUCAUUUUUUUAUAACAUUUACUCACUAUUGGAAUAAUUAUUUGUAUUUGACAUAUUAGUGAAAUGAAUUAUAUUUGUUAUUUAUGGUA